rnacentral:rRNA from 1 species
UGCAAGUCGAGCGGUAAGGCUCCUUCGGGAGUACACGAGCGGCGAACGGGUGAGUAACACGUGAGCAAUCUGCCCUUCACAUCGGGAUAACCCCCGGAAACGGGAGCUAAUACCGGAUACGACCACUUCAGGCAUCUGAUGGUGGUGGAAAGUUCCGGCGGUGAAGGAUGAGCUCGCGGCCUAUCAGCUAGUUGGUGAGGUAAUGGCCCACCAAGGCUUCGACGGGUAGCCGGCCUGAGAGGGUGACCGGCCACACUGGGACUGAGACACGGCCCAGACUCCUACGGGAGGCAGCAGUGGGGAAUAUUGGACAAUGGGCGAAAGCCUGAUCCAGCAACGCCGCGUGAGGGAUGACGGCCUUCGGGUUGUAAACCUCUUUCAGCGCAGACGAAGCGAAAGUGACGGUAUGCGCAGAAGAAGCACCGGCCAACUACGUGCCAGCAGCCGCGGUAAUACGUAGGGUGCGAGCGUUGUCCGGAAUUAUUGGGCGUAAAGGGCUCGUAGGCGGUCUGUUGCGUCAGGAGUGAAAACUCGGGGCUUAACCCCGAGCCUGCUUCUGAUACGGGCAGACUAGAGGUAUGCAGGGGAGAACGGAAUUCCU